rnacentral:rRNA from 1 species
ACGCACGCUGGCGGCAUGCCUCACCCAUGCAAGUCGCACGAGACCUUCGGGUCUAGUGGCGCACGGGUGCGUCACGCGUGGGAACCUGCCCUUAGGUUCGGAAUAACUCCCCGAAAGGGGUGCUAAUACCGGAUAAUGUCUUCGGACCAAAGAUUUAUCGCCUUUGGAUGGGCCCGCGUUGGAUUAGCUAGUUGGUAGGGUAAAAGCCUACCAAGGCGACGAUCCAUAGCUGGUCUGAGAGGAUGAUCAGCCACACUGAGACUGAGACACGGCCCAGACUCCUACGGGAGGCAGCAGUGGGGAAUAUUGGACAAUGGGCGAAAGCCUGAUCCAGCAAUGCCGCGUGAGUGAUGAAGGCCUUAGGGUUGUAAAGCUCUUUUACCCGGGAUGAUAAUGACAGUACCGGGAGAAUAAGCUCCGGCUAACUCCGUG